AACUUUUGACUACGGAUCUCUUGGCUCUCGCAUCGAUGAAGAACGCAGCGAAAUGCGAUAAGUAAUGUGAAUUGCAGAAUUCAGUGAAUCAUCGAAUCUUUGAACGCAUCUUGCGCUCCUUGGUAUUCCGAGGAGCAUGCCUGUUUGAGUGUCAUUCAACUUCUCAACCACAUUCGUUCAUUGAUUGUGGCUUGGAUGGUGGGGGUUUAUUUGCAGGCUUCUUCUGUGAAAACAGAAAGGUCGGCUCCCCUGAAAUGUAUCAGUGGUAUCUGAGGCUAUUGCUAUAGGUGUGAUAAUUAUCUAUGCCCUUGGUAUGCCGCAUGGAACUGCUUCCAACAGAGAUGAUCUUUUUGAUGAAUUUGACCUCAAAUCAGGUAGGACUACCCGCUGAACUUAAGCAUAUCAAUAAGCGGAGGCU
rnacentral:misc_RNA from 1 species